GGGAAUAGAAGGAUAUUAAAAGGGGGGGGGGGAACAGAGAAGGGGGAAUAGGGACAGAGGAAGGAGACGUAACGAGAAGAGGAGGAGAGGGCCGUUUUGGUCACCACUGAAGCCUCCAGCACCGCCGUUGCCGCUGUAGACCUCGUCCCAGCCAUGAAGAAGAGGAGGAGGGGUGCUGUUUGCGCCUUCACUGUUGCCCUGCGUUUUCACUGUCGAGAAGUGGAACGAGAUAGAGAGAGACGCGAAGGAGGAUGUCGGAGGCCACCACCACUGCCAUUGCCAUCGCUGGGAUCGUCGGAAGCUGCCGUGACCACCACUGAGCUCCACGUUGAAAUCACUGAUGGAGGUGUCUUUGCUGCCUUUAUUUUGGUUUAGAGGGCUGCCGGGGUCGCUAAUCGGGUUCCAUACAACUCGCCAUGUCUCCAUUUAUUUCUGCCUAUUGCUCAGCCAUCACUAAAGCCCUCUGCCGCCGCCAGGAGCCAGUACUAGAGCUAUCGCUAAUAGUUUUGCCGCUAUAAUUGCAAUUUAUAAUGACGUAGCUGCUAUAAGAGGCAUCGGAGCUGUUGCUGUUUCUGUGGGAAUUAAUGCUAUCGCUGCUGCCUCGUUGUAACCUCGCCUCCGGUUUUGUUAAUUGUUGUGAGUGAUUAAUUGAU